CAAACCCGAAUGAUAGUUGGCACUGGUUUUCGCCUCAGUCGAUGAGUCUUUAUCGGGAAUGACUGAUUCAUCUGUAUACGGGUAUUCAAAGGGAGACAACCUGCUGUUCGUAAGGAAGAGACGAGCGAGCAUGCCGAUAUCAUCCGUUUGCGGGCGAUUCAAUCGUACGAUCGCCUAAACAGGUAACACAAUACGCGGGACCUAACAGCACCUCAUCCUUCAUCGAGGCACUCGUCGGGUUUCCCGCUUCCUAUGAUGUUCCGUGCUGCUUUCAGGAAACGCUGGUUUCCAUCACUCAGAAUCUGCCAAGGAGUAUGCAACUGAGGCUGGCAUUGAGCCGCUCUUCGUGCCCGCCUAUUCUUUCUGGCUCACUCCGAUUGAGGGCGCUCCCUCUGUUCCCGAACGCCAUUGUUACGUUAACGGAUCAUUAGACGGGUCACUCGCUUCUGCGACACCGUUCUUUGAGGAAUCGUUCUCUGCACUCAACAAUCCUGAGCCGCUGUGUUGCUUUUCUGCUCGUUGGCGGGAUGGGGUGCAAGCGCGCGCUUCGGUCUGUGGGUGUUCGCGCUACGGAAAACGCCAUGAAAAGGCACCUGAGACAGCACAGAUCCAUGGAGACAUAGAAGGAGCGAGUUCCGGAGCCACCGUCUACCCAGUGCCUCUGGAAUCCGACGAGAAAGCGUACAUAGCGUACAGCGACGAUACCCAUGACUCCCCGCCAUGUCAAGGACACGGCGACGGAAGAGCUGGUCUCCGCGGGCAAGUACGCAGCAUUCGAACAACUCUGCGAAGGGCAAUCAGGAACGCGCCCAGGUUUUCUUGCCUACAGGGAUAGGCUGAAGGAAAUGUACACGGGCGACAGACGCUGAUGGAAUAUCAAUCAGCACGCACUUUGUGAAGCCGGGACCUCUGUCGCGACAUUGGACGCAUGCCCGAGCCCUCACAGUAGAGGAAGCGAAGCGAACGACUUUGUGGCGGGCGUGGAUCCCGCGUCGAAGAACAUCGCAUUCAUCGCCGUAUCGCUAGAUAUAGCGGACGCAACCAAAGACCUGACCUGAAAACAGGUGAAGCCGUUUAACUUUCCCACUACUCCAUUUCAUUGGGAUUCGGGUACGGUGGAAGUCAGGAGGUAUCCGAACAUCUGGAACGACAAGGUCGGAACCGAUCCCGAUGCACCGAGCACCGUACGGAGCAGAGGCGAAUGCUUCGUGCGCUUCAUUCAGGAAGUACGCGAGUGUCGAAAUGAACCAUAUGGGCGGUUGCUGGCAGGAUAACCUGGGAUCACGCUGAACUCGGCAACGGUAUCGGUAGAACGUAGACACGACUCGCGCAUUCGCCACUUCCCUCAACGGGCCGGAAACCAGGUGAUCUCAAAGUCGUGUCGUUUGGUGAUGCAAGUCAAUGGCAUUAGACGUGCUGCAAUGCCCAGAAGCCCGCACUCCCGGUCAAACGGCCAGACCGAACAACGAGUCCAGGAAUCGAGUAUCUGCGAGACCCAUCGAUGCGUUCAGCACGACAUGUGUACGCAUCACGAGCAUGCGGGACCGCUGAAUCUGGUAGAAAGAAGAGCGCGACACAUAGACGGAUGCACGAGAAGGUGCACAGUGAGGUGACUGAGCGUCAAAUGGCGAGGCAGUUGCAGGUGGGAAACGUGCUAUGGUGUGAUUCCAAAAGGCGUUCAUGUGCGCUGGGGCACGCUCCGCACUGAGCACUGAAUGUGUCGAACGGCAGCCGAUGAUGACCCGCGCUUCCGGAGCGUCCAGCUGAUUUGUAUGGCGCGAAUGUUCAAGCGAAUCGUUUCAUAGCUCGUGUAGGCACUGUGGAAAAUGCGGAGCACGGUCGAGAGCGUAAAAUUAGGGUGCCGGAGAGAAGGCACUGGAUUCUCGCCUGGAUCCAGGCAGUCGUGUAGACCGGUUCAGCAAUCCAUCAAGGCUGGGUCAUCUUGUUUAGAGAUAAACCAGGGCGGAUUUC